UACGGUGGGGGUUAGCGUUGUUCGGAAUUACUGGGCGUAAAGCGCGCGUAGGCGGAUCAGAAAGUUGGGGGUGAAAUCCCGGGGCUCAACCCCGGAAUUGCCUUCAAAACUCCUGGUCUUGAGUUCGAGAGAGGUGAGUGGAAUUCCGAGUGUAGAGGUGAAAUUCGUAGAUAUUCGGAGGAACACCAGUGGCGAAGGCGGCUCACUGGCUCGAUACUGACGCUGAGGUGCGACAGCGUGGGGAGCUAACAGG
rnacentral:rRNA from 1 species